AGGGUGCCAGCUACAGUAAUCACUAUGGAACCUCCGUCUCUCUAGGGCCCUGAGAUCAAGUCCAGCUUUCUCAAUGGUCCAGACAAGGCAAGACCCACCCUUCUUUGGGGAGCACUGCCACAUCUUGCCCUCCCUCUGCUCAUGACCUGGUUUCAGCCUUAAGAAACCAGAAUCCACCAGACAGGCCUUCCCAGCAUUUUCCCAGGAAAAUGGCUCCCAGUAGAAGAAAAGCAAGGUUCAUGGCCAUUGGCUCUUGCCUUCUCCACUCAACAUCUCCCUCGGUCACCGUCAAUUUCUUGUUCCGUGCCUGACCAUUUUUGUUGUCAUGCAAACACGCUGUGCACCUCUCGUUCCAAGGAAGCUGUCGCCGCAUCCUUUCACAAGGCAAUGGGGUGAGGUGGGUGUUGGACGAGCUCUCUACACUCCGAAGAACAAUAAAGGAAGCAAGAAAGCAG